UGCCAUACCAUGCUGAAUAUACCGGUUCUCGUUAGUCACCGAAGUCAAGCAUCAUUGGGCGCGGCCAGUACUUGGGAGGGUGACCACCUGGGAACACCGCGUGC
rnacentral:rRNA from 1 species